rfam:Ictidomys tridecemlineatus contig015562, whole genome shotgun sequence.
GGGGAUAUAGCUCAGUAGAUAGAGCACUUGCCUCUCGUGUACGAGGCCCUGGGUUUAAUCCCCAGCACCACUG